rnacentral:lncRNA from 1 species
GGGGGAGCCACAUUUUGAAGGUGCUGAAACGGUGCAGAGGCAUUCUCGGCUGGAGCAUGGUUUUGGCAUUUGCAACUUUCUUUGAAUAAUGUUUUUAGUAAUAGGUAUUGGGUGAAAGUAAGAACAUUAUUCCUUUCAUUGUACGCAUACUGCAGUGCAUCAGACGUUGUGAUGCUACCUUGUUUUUCAUUUUCAUUUUAUUAUCUUUAAAUGGAAGAACAAGGUGUGUUGUCUUGUCCAUGGGUCAACCAAUCUUUAUAGCAUUUUCUUUUUUUUUUUUAAUUUUCGAGGUAAUGGAAGAGCACGGUGACAAC